CGGCGCAAGGCUAGCCACGUGUGUCUCCGCGCCGCCCGUCGGGUCUGGGACCACCGUGGCCAGCCGAGGCACCCCAGGACAGCCAAAAUCAGGGAUGCCUGUCUUGCACUUUGCUCCAGCCCGCCGACGGAGGAGGUUUCACUCUCAGCUGGAGAGAAUGGAUGGAGCUUGCAGGAGGCCAAGCUGCCCUCUGCUUCCCUGCAUCAGAGCCCCUGGAUGCCUCUGGAACUCCAGCCCCUCUGGAAGCCUCCAGCUCUGACAGGAGUGUGGCCCUGGCUGAAGGUUCUUCUGUCUCCCUCUUUCUGUCAUUUCUUUUUCCUUCUUUCUUAAUUACCUUGCAGGUGAAGGGUGAGAAUUGUGGAAGAGGCAUCUAGCCAAGGUUCCCUGCUCCCUCCCCUGGUUUUGAUAAAGGUUGCCGAGAGUUAGUAAAAGUAACCUCAUUUCACUCUCCAUUUAUUUACUGGCUUUGAACUGUUCACAACUCCUAACCUACUUUUGUUUUUCUUUCUUUCUCUGAUGCCCUCUGCUGUAGACCCUGCAUACUGAGGGUUUGCGUUGCCUGGAAUCUAAUGGAAUCUUGCCUCUGUCCAGUAGGAGUGACUUUACCAGGCCUUAGAGAAGAUAAUUCCAUUGAUUGGCCUUGUACGUCACUCUUUAUGAGUGAGAACCUGACAAACAAGAGCACAAGCCUCAAUCUUACCAGUAAUCAGAGAAAUGCAAUGAAAUGCCAUUUUUCAACCAUCCAAUAGGCCAAAAAAAAAAAAAAAAAAGAUAAUAUUUUGUGCUGGCAAGAGGGUGAGAAAAUGAGCACUCAGAUAUUGCUGCUGUAAACAUGAAUUGCUAUAUCUUUUGGGAAUGCAGCCUACUAUCUAUUAAAAAAAAUACAGAGAUUACAUUCAGCAGUGUUAUUUUUGUUCAUUCAUCCUGUGGAUAUCAAUGUUCCAGUUUGUAAGGUCAUGUGUUCAAGAAAGUUUACCACAGCAUUAUUUAUAAUGGCAAAAGCCUAAACACAAUUUGAAUUUCUGUCAGGAAGUGUGGUUUAUCUGUAGUACAGAAUAUGUCGUGCAAUUAUUUUUUAAAAACGGAAUUAGGCUUCCUUGUGUGGACUAAGAAAGCUGUGUUAUCAUGUGAGUAUAGUAGUAAUAGUUGCAGACUAAUAUUAAUGAAAUGGUCUUACAUUUUGGGGAAAAUAAAUCUUCAUAUGUGUGUCUACAUGAUUACAUGAGUAUGGAGAAAGAAGUGACAGGAUACCAUCUCAGCUAGACUUGUUACAACAAACAUGCAUUGAUACUGUGAUUUUUUUUUUUAAUAAAGUGAAAAAAUAUGAGAGAAUGAGUUUGAGAGAUAGAAACUAGAUUAUAACCCAUCUGUCUAUCCCUUACAACUUGUGAGAGCUUUGGUCAGUUACCUAACCUCAGUCCUCAUCUGUAAAAAGGAAAUAAUAUCUACCUCAGUGUGUUUGGUUAAAGGACGUGUACAAAGCA